AGGUCCCUUAUGACGAAGAAAAUUGAAGGUCUUUUUUUCUCUGGUCAGAUCAAUGGCACAACUGGUUAUGAAGAGGCUGCCGCACAGGGUAUUUUAUCUGGAAUCAAUGCUGCCAGACACUCGGAUGGUAAGAAACACAUUGUACUUGAGAGGGAAAGCAGUUAUAUAGGUACAUUGAUUGACGAUUUAGUCACAAA